GAGUUUGAUCUUGGCUCAGAUUGAACGCUGGCGGCAGGCCUAACACAUGCAAGUCGAGCGCGAAAGGCCUUCGGGCUGAGUAGAGCGGCGGACGGGUGAGUAACGCGUAGGAAUCUACCCAAUAGUGGGGGACAACCUGGGGAAACUCAGGCUAAUACCGCAUACGCCCUACGGGGGAAAGCGGGGGACCUUCGGGCCUCGUGCUAUUGGAUGAGCCUGCGUUGGAUUAGCUAGUUGGUAGGGUAAAGGCCUACCAAGGCGACGAUCCAUAGCUGGUCUGAGAGGAUGAUCAGCCACACUGGAACUGAGACACGGUCCAGACUCCUACGGGAGGCAGCAGUGGGGAAUAUUGCGCAAUGGGCGAAAGCCUGACGCAGCCAUGCCGCGUGUGUGAAGAAGGCCUGCGGGUUGUAAAGCACUUUCAGAGGGGAAGAAAAAUACGGAG
rnacentral:rRNA from 1 species